GUGUUUGGCAGCUGUUUGUUGACGACGUGAAGUUAAAAUUGAACAACGGUUUGCUUGAAAAACAUUCAAUGAAGGUCGUGACGUCAUCGAAGAUUUCCACUUCUGCUUUAGUCGAUAGUGGUUCAUCCACUUCUGCUUUAGUCGAUAACAUCGAAAAAAUAUCGACUCCAAAAAUUUUGGUUAAUGUUUUGGGUAUGGUGUGCAUUCAAUGACAGACUGGUACGAAAAUACCUGAAUCUUUUGCGAAAACCACGUGGAGAAGAGGCUGAAGACCUUACAUUAUUCAAACACAUCGUUGCUGGUGUCGAGUCUAGUGAGUAGAGGGAAUGACGCGGCAAAAAUUAGCGCAAACCGAAAAAAAAAACAAAAUUCGUUGAAGGCCAUCUCAACCAGGACAUUAAACAAGUGUAUGGAAAAUAAUAGCAGUGUUACUCGCUCGAGAGUCUAUAUUGAAGGCGACAAUAAAGAUUUGUACCUAAAUACGGUUUUUUUGUCAGUCCAGGUGAACUUUAAUCAAAUGGUAUUAUUAAUAUAUGAUUGAUUUUUUUUA